AAGCGAAGUGGUGACGCGGAGCAAAUCCCAAAAAUAACGUCCCAGUUCGGAUUNUAGUCUGCAACCCGACUACAUGAAGCUGGAAUCGCUAGUAAUCGCGGAUCAGAAUGCCGCGGUGAAUACGUUCCCGGGUCUUGUACACACCGCCCGUCACACCAUGGGAGGUCGGAAAUGCCCGAAGUCUGUGACCUAACCGUAAGGAGGGAGCUGCCUAAGGUGGGGUAGAUGAUUGGGGUGAAGUCGUAACAAGGUAGC
rnacentral:rRNA from 1 species